CCCUAGGGUGGAGUCUGGGGUAGAAUUGUUCCAAGAUAUAUAAGUGAUAACCCUUUAAAAAGAAGGCUCUGUGGGUAUUUACACAAAUAUGCAACAAUAUGAUCCUGAACUGCUUGCGUAAUAAGAGAUCAUAUUGGAAAUAUGUAAUAAGAAAUCAUUUCGUAUGGGCAGUUUAAUAAUAAGCAUGUCAUAGAACGUACUGAGAUUUAUCACAAAAGUAAUAUUUGUAUACCUUGGUGUGCACAAGUACAGGGUUUAACAUAUGUGCGAAUGCAUAUUGCCCAGUUUAAUAAAUGUUAAACUCAGAAAACCUUUUUAUGCCAAUGAUACAAGCAUUGUUCAUCUGAGGUUUGAGCAGGCCAGGAUAGCAGCUCCAAUCUAAUUAGAAAUUAAAGCUACGUCAGCAAAAGUCUUUUGAGUACAAAAACCCCUUUCGUAAUAGGAUAGGUAAAGGCUUACAUACAUCUAUAAACAGUAAUGUAAAGGUAUAAAGACAUUAACACUCAUAAGGAAAAAUCCAGUCUUUUAAAAGAAAAAAAUAUAUAAUUUGUUUACGCAUCUGUUUUGUGAAGAUUAUUCAAAUCCCUGAACUGAUCAAAGCAUUUAGUAAAGGCAAUUAUUGAAAUUGAAGUAUGGAAAUGAUUGCUGAUUCCUGAAUUAGGCUAUAGUAACUCAAAAAUAUCAAAGGAUAGGAUAAUAUGGCAUAGACAAUGAAAGAGGAUCAUCACAUCAUUGCUGCUAAUCAUGGCAAAUGUUAUACAGAACUCCCCUUAUAAGAUUCAAUUGGGAAAAAAAUGGCGCCCAGUCAAUUGAAAGUUUGUGUUCUGUACUUUUACUCUAUUUCUAAAAUAAAAA